GACUCUAGGGUGGGCUUGGCUUCUCGGCCUCGGUGCUCAAGUACGCAAACAAGAUUUGAAUUUGAAAACACUGAGCCUGGGCCCGGCGGAAGGUACCCGCAGCGGAUUCCGACCUACGGAAGCCCGGGAGGACCAAGCUUCCGGAGGCCGCCGAAAGUGUGCCGGGCAGGGGUGCGAGGCUGUGGGGUGCCUCCUGGUUCCCUUUGAUCUUGGCGGACGGAGCCUCCCCUGGCUCCCCUGUGUCCAAACUUCGUAGUCUCCGGCUUCUUCCCUGCUCCAGGAAUCGCCCAGCUAGACUUGAAAGGGUCCAAGGCAGCCGCAGGACCUGCUGUAUCUGCUGCCGAGCCUCGGGCCUGGCCCCUUCCGCUGGGAUGGAUGGGCUUGUGCGGGAGAUAAACCUCUCCGCGCCUGUCUCCUCUUUGGCACCGCGGGGGUUACACCUGCCCAUACCUGGAUCUGUUGUGAGGUUUAAGUGGGAAGCACCCGUAUGUGGUGCAUGUUAACCCCCGUCUUCUGAGUCUGGAGAACUAUAACCCCGCCAGGAACAUGGGAGACAAGUUUGUUCUGGCUCAGAAAACUGCGUUUUCCCCUCACUCUUGCGCAUCGACCGAAAAAGACUGUGUCCCCAACUCACGAUUUUUCUCCGUCAGUAGUCCCGUGAAUUACGGUCCUUCCCCUGCCCUACGUGUCAUGUGUUGAGAAGUUUGGGGCUCAAUCAUUGAAACGUUUACUGAGCAUCUGCUGUUCGCAGCAAACUGUUAAGACACCAUGCUCCACACUGGAGAUAAACAUGAGUAAGACAUGACGUUGCACUGGAGGAGCCCUUGGACCAAAGAUGACCUCAGAGACCUACCACCGCCUAGUUUAGGGCUUAUAAAUGUAGAGAAGAGUUCUGUUAAUUCAGUCAACAUUUUCCAAGCCGCUGUACCUGCUAAAGUGCUGAGGACAGAGACUCCUCAAGAACCAGGGUUCAUCAGCUCAAAGCCACCUGGGGUCUUUGCCCUCCCGUCUUCUCUCUCUUCAAACAGGGGGUUUGAAGCCUUGUCAACAGGAAGUGAAUUCCUCGUAUCACAUACAGUCUUCUGUUGAUUGUCUCCUUGCAAAAAGAGAUCCCAGAUUUGGAGCUCAAGAAGCUGGCAACCUGGAAAGCCGACAAAGGAAGCCCCAACAAGAGCGUGACCCUCCUCAGCGAAAGGCCAAGAAAGGAACAGCCCACCGAGACACAACUCCUCCACAGUCCCCACUCUCCUCCAGCUAAACACCUCAGAAGAAGUUCGUGGCUCCCACCCUCAAGGCUGUGAUGAGGGAAGGCGUCAAAGAAGGCCGAGUAGGAAAUCGGGACUUUCACCCAUGCCGGCUGGUAACAAGGCCGUGGCCGCGGUCAGUGGUGACCACGGGGGGAGCCAGAACUCCCACCCUGCCUGCACUAGCAAGGAGUGCCUCCUUCAGGUGCCAGCGGAGGUCAGGUGGGCAGCCUGGUCUUCCCUCCCACCUGCUGUAGUGAGGUCUUGCCCCCGCUUCCCCUGCCAAGUCACGUGAGGAAGAGCCAGUUAAAAGAAGUUGAACUAAGACCCAGAAUCUUCUAACCUGCGAAAAUGUCCAGGUGCCAAGUGAAAACCAUUCAUCAUUCCAAAAUGAAAGUACUUCAGUAAGCAAUUAUGUGUACACUCGGAACAAGAAUAGAAACACUCAGCCAAAAAAAAAAAAAAGAAGACAUAAAGAACCAAAAGGAAAUUUUAGCACUGAAGAAUAUGGUAGCUGAACUGAAAAGCUCAGUGGACGGACAGAACGGAGAGGGGAGAGGAAAGAAUCAGUCAACUGGAAGAUAAAACAAUAGAAAUUACACAGUCUGAGCAAGAGAAAACCAAAAGAAAAAAAAAAAAGAACAUUAAGAAAACUACAGACCAGUAUCCCUCAUGAA